rnacentral:rRNA from 1 species
AUUUCUCACGAUCCCUUCGGGGUGACGAGUUAUUGACUGAGUGGCGGACGGGUGAGUAACGCGUGGGUAACCUACCUUGUACAGGGGGACAACAGUUGGAAACGACUGCUAAUACCGCAUAAGCGCACAGCAUCGCAUGAUGCAGUGUGAAAAGUUUUUUCGGUACAAGAUGGACCCGCGUCUGAUUAGCUAGUUGGUGAGGUAACGGCCCACCAAGGCGACGAUCAGUAGCCGACCUGAGAGGGUGACCGGCCACAUUGGGACUGAGACACGGCCCAAACUCCUACGGGAGGCAGCAGUGGGGAAUAUUGCACAAUGGGCGCAAGCCUGAUGCAGCGACGCCGCGUGAGCGAAGAAGUAUUUCGGUAUGUAAAGCUCUAUCAGCAGGGAAGAUAAUGACGGUACCUGACUAAGAAGCACCGGCUAAAUACGUGCCAGCAGCCGCGGUAAUACGUAUGGUGCAAGCGUUAUCCGGAUUUACUGAGUGUAAAGGGAGCGUAGGCGGUUUUACAAGUCUGAUGUGAAAGCCCGGGGCUCAACUCCGGUAUUGCAUUGGAAACUGUAGAACUAGAGUGUCGGAGGGGUAAGUGGAAUUCCUAGUGUAGCGGUGAAAUGCGUAGAUAUUAGGAGGAACACCAGUGGCGAAGGCGGCUUACUGGACGAUUACUGACGCUGAGGCUCGAAAGCGUGGGGAGCAAACAGGAUUAGAUACCCUGGUGGUCCACGCCGUAAAC